UUUUUUUUUUCCUAAAACCAGUUUGUGUUUUCCUUUUUAAAUGGAAUGUUUUGAUACAGGUCAAUUUUAAUGUAACCAAAUCUAUAAAUUAUUUCCUUUAUAAAUGAUCUCUUUGCUGGUGUACCUGCAUGAGAAGAUCAUACCAUUCCGAGACUGAUGGGCCUGCUCACCUGUACUGUGCUGGUUAUAUUAUCAUUUUACUCUGUCAACACUGUCAUAAGAAUUGCAGUUGACUGCAGUGUGAGCCAGCAUAUUAUUUUGGAACUAGCUAGUUACCCACGAUAGGAAAUGCUGCUUUUGUCAUGUGUUCUGUUUUCAUGCAUUUCAUUCUAUUCUAUUUUGUUCUGUUCUGUUUCUCUUUCUUUCUCCUUUAGCUCUGGUAUUCCCUAUAAAGAAUGUUUCUUCCAAACACUUAAAAUCCACAAGUAGAUAUUGUGAUUUGAUUGGGAUUUAGGGUCCACUGCAUUCUGCUUUGACGUCACACAGCCUUCUUUGGUGCUCACGCUGCAUCCGAAAGCUUCUCUUUCUGCAGGGUCCUGCUGCCCUCCUGCACUGCGCUUUUGCUCAGCGGUAUCUGUGGAGGUUGCAUCAGUGGUGAGCUCUGAGGUCUUGAGUGACUAACAUGUCUGUCCCGUUCCUGUGAUAACUGUCUCAGCUCAAUGCUGAAUUUCAGUUUCAGAAAUACUUUUUUUGAACCUUUCCUGCUGAUGGUUUUGGGCUCAGGUGUCUAAUGAUCCUUUUGUUAUUGAUUCAUGCUUAGGAAUAUAGUUAGGAUAGGUCGCUGGCAUGGUCUGUUUCCCAGAAGGCCUAUUCUCUGAGUCGCACUAGACAUAUCCAAGAGCAGUUUCCCAGUAGAACUUAAGGGCAGACCGCAGUGGGCAGGAAUUAUGUACAUGCAAGGCUACAAAUCAGCAGAUGGCAAAUCCAGCUGGAGCGAGAGGUUGGGGACAGGCAACUUCCCCAGGCCCUGGUGUCUCAGCGGCGUGCUGCAAGUUCCCAGCAUGGGGCCCGUGGAGAGGAGGCAGCAAAGGAAAGCCUUGUGCCUAACAGGAGCCCCGUGAGACUCCCAGUUCAGGAGCACGAUGUGCUGUGUGGCUAGGGCCCAUGGAAUCCAGUUCAGACACCCCUCUUUUUUUCUGCAGAAAGCCGCCCCUGCCAAGGCUUGCUGGCCCCACCUGGAAAUUAUAACAGGUCCGUGAGCAGCUGCACAUGCACAUGUACUGUUUCUCUGUGGAGAUUUGAUUCUGCUGUCCCCCUGCUGACUGUGGAGCCGACUCCAUGGAGGUCCUUGUUCCUCUUUUUAAACCGCACUCAGGGAGCAGCUGAGCUCCUGCCUUGUUUACUUCAGACUUCACACCAGAGUGUACAUUGGGGAGCAAAACGAAGGUCCCCCUGUUCCUUGGAAAGAUGAAAAUUCUCUAACCGUGACUGGGGUCUCCUUUUUCAUUCAUUUUAUGCUGCAUAUUUUGCAUUCGGAUGUGAUAAGAAGCCAAAUAGAUAAAAACAAAAGAACCUGAGUGAGUUGGGUGCAGGGUCUCGUUCUCAUCUCCUGGGGGGCUUCCCCACAGGGCAGAGUGUACAUUGUCCUGGAAAGUCCUGCCAUAAAUAACAACAGCCAGCAGGAAGUCAGACUCUACCCCCAAGCUAGUGAGGCUGGGCUACUAGUUCCAGCACCUUCAGCUGCGGCUUUUCAGAGAAGUGGGCCCUUUGUCUUCUACUUCGGAAUCCACUUAUGUUUUACAUUUUUGUAUAUAUAUAAUGUUUAUGAUGGUUUGCUUUUUUUUUUUUUUUUUAAGCCAGUGACAGACUUCAAAAAGGGCAGACUUUUUCAAGAGAGAUAUUAUAUCACUGCAUUAGAAAUUCAGGAAGAACUAAAAUGUUAUUUCUGAGAACCACUCUAUGCCAAGUACUGUUUUGGGAGUUUUGCAUGUGUGGGUUCAUUUAUUUCUCACAAUGACCAAUCCAGGUAGGACCCCCUCAUUCUACGUAGGAGGGAAAUGAAGCCAGGGACAGGUGAGGAGCUUGCCUGAUGCCUUACAAUUAGAGUGACGGCAGUUAGAACUGGUUUUGAUGAUGCAUUUCUCUUGUACUUAUAAAAAGCAGAUACGAAUCUCUAGUUUGUGCUUACCUCGUCUUCCUUGCUUCCCUCUGUCCCAUGCCAGCGUCCAGCCAAGCCUUUCUUGGGCCUGCAGGGGCUCCAACCCAGGAGCUGUGGACUGUGGGCUGUUGUGUUUCAGUAAGAUAUUUCCGUGAGUUCAUAAAAGCAAAAUCAUUUCUUACUUCUGUGUUAGUCUAAUGUCAGUGUUCCUGAUGAGUGGCCACUUUUCUUACAUGUGGGGAUUUGGGAGACCCAGCCUCCUCCUUUGUAUACCAACAGCCCUGAGGCCCUACAGUCAGCUUGGUGGGGAAAAGACUAGGAAGGAAGCACCUGCUUCUUAAAGGUAAACUAUCCACACACACCCCAUUGGCCAGGACUGGUCACGUGACCACAUCUGGCUGCAAGGCGGUCUGGGAAAUGUAGUCCCCACUGGGAGGCACCUGGCGGGAGCCCCAACCUAUGGCAGGAGCAGAGAUUUCGAAGGCUGCUGGCUCGCUCUGCCCUGGAGGUAAUGCUGAAAUUUGACUUUGUGUAUAACUGAUGUGAAUUACCUUUGUCAUAUCUUUGGAAUAAGCUGUGGUCAUUCUUUUUCUUUC